rnacentral:lncRNA from 1 species
CACGUGGCCAGACCUGAGAACACCGAAGGAAGGUGAUUCAAGCAAGGCCUUGUAUAUGGAUAGAGCAAGGAUCUUCCAGAGUCUUUUAAACCUUGUGAAAGAUUUUGAUCAUUAUCUCAAUGAGAGGUCAAUGAAGGACACUAAACCAGGAGUUUCCCUGCACAAGCUCUCUGCUCUUGUCUGCUGCCAUACAAGAUGUGCCUUUCACCUUCUGCCCUGAUUGUGAGGCCUCCCAAGCCAUGUGGAACUACGUCUCUCUGUCACCCAGGCUGGAGUGCAGGGGCUGGAGUGCAGUUGCACAAUCUCGGCUCACUGCAACCUCCCCUUCCCGGGUUCAAGUGAAGGAAUGCUGAUUCUGUAUUCAUACUUCUGACUGCAAGGAGUUCCAACAAUAGGAGUGAUUGCUUACUUAUUGACUCUGGACCACAGGGUUAAUGAGAAGUACGGAGUUACUCUAAGGGAUCAACUGGUUCUGACUGGCAGCUUGCCAUUAGAAGGGGGUGAACUACCUAUUAUGAUCCUGUAUUAAAUUAAUUGGAAAGAGUUUAUGUUUUCAGUAUUCCAGCAUGCUCGAAGUUUAAGAUGCAGACAAGGAAAACAAGGCAGCCUAGAGAACAUUUACCUUUGCAUAUUCUCAUACAAUUUUUAUCCAUUUUGCUUCUCUUAAUAAACUUUACACAAUCACUGCCUG